UACGUAGGGGGCAAGCGUUGUCCGGAUUCAUUGGCGUAAAGAGCGUGUAGGCGGCCAGGUAGGUCGGUUGUGAAAACUGGAGGCUCAACCUUCAGAGGUCGACCGAAACCAUCUGGCUAGAGUCCGGGAGAGGAGAGUGGAAUUCCUGGUGUAGCGGUGAAAUGCGCAGAUAUCAGGAAGAACACCCGUGGCGAAAGCGGCUCUCUGGAACGGUACUGACGCUGAGACGCGAAAGCGUGGGGAGCGAACAGG
rnacentral:rRNA from 1 species